rnacentral:rRNA from 1 species
AUGCAGAGUUGGGAGCCCCAGUUCAUCGCAGUGCACGAAGGGUUCAAGGUGCUCACACUCCGGUACCAGGCGCAAGAUAAUCUAACUCCGUCUGGGCGUCCCGCUCCCUCUGAUGGUAACAUGUGUGCAUGGUUUUCUAUGUGCAUCUUCCUUCCGGAUGCCCUCGACGGUUUGCCGGGCCUGGUUGACAUGAUAGCAUCCCAGCCUGCUGACUUCUUGGAAAAGCACCUGCCGGAGGAGAAGAUCGAUGUUAGGGAGUUCCGGGUGCCCAAGUUCAAGCUCUCCUUCCAUGGCAGCGUCGUCGCCAUCCUCAAGAAGUUGGGGCUUCAGUCGGCGUUCAGUGAUCAAGCCGAUUUGUCUGACAUGGUGGAGGACGAUGAAUCUGGUUUGCCAUUGGUCUUGAACGACGUAAUCCACAAGGCGGUCAUGGAGGUAAACGAGGAAGGCACCGUAGCCGCGGCUGUGUCCAUAGAUGAGAUGUUAUUCGGUGGUUGUAAUUUCAUGCGGCCGCCACCUCCUCGAGUAGAUUUUGUAGCCGACCAUCCGUUUGCGUACUUAAUAAUGGAGGAGACAACCGGCGCAGUUGUCUUUGCGGGGCAUGUCCUUGACCCCUCCAUCGGGAGCUAG